UGCAAGUCGAACGAUGAAGCCCAGCUUGCUGGGUGGAUUAGUGGCGAACGGGUGAGUAACACGUGAGUAACCUGCCCUUGACUCUGGGAUAAGCGUUGGAAACGACGUCUAAUACCGGAUACGAGCUUCCACCGCAUGGUGAGUUGCUGGAAAGAAUUUUGGUCAAGGAUGGACUCGCRGCCUAUCAGCUUGUUGGUGAGGUAAUGGCUCACCAAGGCGACGACGGGUAGCCGGCCUGAGAGGGUGACCGGCCACACUGGGACUGAGACWMGGCCCAGACUCCUACGGGAGGCAGCAGUGGGGAAUAUUGCACAAUGGGCGAAAGCCUGAUGCAGCAACGCCGCGUGAGGGACGACGGCCUUCGGGUUGUAAACCUCUUUUAGCAGGGAAGAAGCGAAAGUGACGGUACCUGCAGAAAAAGCACCGGCUAACUACGUGCCAGCAGCCGCGGUAAUACGUAGGGUGCAAGCGUUGUCCGGAAUUAUUGGGCGUAAAGAGCUCGUAGGCGGUUUGUCGCGUCUGCUGUGAAAUCCCGAGGCUCAACCUCGGGUCUGCAGUGGGUACGGGCAGACUAGAGUGCGGUAGGGGAGAUUGGAAUUCCUGGUGUAGCGGUGGAAUGCGCAGAUAUCAGGAGGAACACCGAUGGCGAAGGCAGAUCUCUGGGCCGCUACUGACGCUGAGGAGCGAAAGGGUGGGGAGCAAACAGGCUUAGAUACCCUGGUAGUCCACCCCGUAAACGUUGGGCGCUAGAUGUGGGGACCAUUCCACGGUUUCCGUGUCGUAGCUAACGCAUUAAGCGCCCCGCCUGGGGAGUACGGCCGCAAGGCUAAAACUCAAAGGAAUUGACGGGGGCCCGCACAAGCGGCGGAGCAUGCGGAUUAAUUCGAUGCAACGCGAAGAACCUUACCAAGGCUUGACAUAUACGAGAACGGGCCAGAAAUGGUCAACUCUUUGGACACUCGUAAACAGGUGGUGCAUGGUUGUCGUCAGCUCGUGUCGUGAGAUGUUGGGUUAAGUCCCGCAACGAGCGCAACCCUCGUUCUAUGUUGCCAGCACGUAAUGGUGGGAACUCAUGGGAUACUGCCGGGGUCAACUCGGAGGAAGGUGGGGACGACGUCAAAUCAUCAUGCCCCUUAUGUCUUGGGCUUCACGCAUGCUACAAUGGCCAGUACAAAGGGCUGCAAUACCGUAAGGUGGAGCGAAUCCCAAAAAGCUGGUCCCAGUUCGGAUUGAGGUCUGYAACUCGACCUCAUGAAGUCGGAGUCGCUAGUAAUCGCAGAUCAGCAACGCUGCGGUGAAUACGUUCCYGGGCCUUGUACACACCGCCCGUCAAGUCAUGAAAGUCGGUAACACCCGAAGCCAGUGGCCUAACCGCAAGGAUGGAGCUGUCUAAGGUGGGAUCGGUAAUUAGGACUAAGUC
rnacentral:rRNA from 1 species